GAGAAGAAGAAGAGAGCCAGAAAUGAUCAUCAUCAUCAUCAUCAUCAUCAUCAUCACUACAACAUGCCCUCGACAGUAACUGACACAUUCCACAGCCACAUGGAUUAAGUUACGUGAGAUGACGCUCCCAACAACAGACUGAUAGAAGAUCUGCUCCAUCUGCUGCAAACCUUGAAGGAUUUUAAUUUCCUGAAGAAGUCCAGUCUGCUCUGUCCCUUCUUGCUUCACUGUUGUGUCUCCAGUCCAGUCUAUUGUCCAGAUGAACCCUGAAGUAUUUAUAUUCCUCAACCACCUCCACUUCAUACUGGUGAUGUCUGAAACCAGAUGGAUUGUGUCCUUUGCAGUUGUACCAUAAUCCAUCAAUCCACCAAUAAAAGAUGAUGGAUUGAGCAGAGCUCUGCCUUCAACCUCUCCAGACCUGCCUGCUGGGUUCCUCGGCGUUGAUGUUACUGUUUUUCUCUUGCUUUUUUUUUUUUUUUUUGACUGACCAGGGGAAUCAAAAAUUUUGUAAAUAACAUAUUAAUUUAUAAAAUGUGUAUUUUAACUCACACUGUGAAGUUGGUACCAAAUCUCCAAGAGGAGACUUUUGCAAUUUGCAGACAUGAAACAUUGGAGUAUCAUUUACUCAUCAUUCAGCAGCAUCAUUUCUUCCAUUUGUUGAAGCAGUAACCAAAAUCAUAAGAACAACCAUAAGUGUUUUUUAUUACAGUAAACAUUAAUGUUUUAUCAGUAAUUUUGAUGUUUAUGUUGUGAAGUAUUUGACUUCUGGUUUGAGCUGUAUACUUUUAUUUUUGAUAUUGCUGCUGCAUAAAAGUUAGUUAGUUUUCUCCCAAAUACAGCAGUUAGCUUGUUUUUUUUUACAGAGCAACAAGAAAUACUGUUUCAUACUGGCAGCCCCUCUGGAGAGUAAAAAAGUGUGUUGAUUAUAAAAUGCAUUUUACAUUUAAUCUGUAUUUUGUCUGUUAAUAUUUGGCAUAAACAUAACAUAGCAUAUAAAUGGAAACACUGUAAAAAAUGGGUUAUGUGUUUCAGCGCCUGGUGUGACGUGGAUUUCAAUGCUACAAUGAAUGGGACAGCUUUUGAAGAAAUCAAAUCUCAUAAAA